UCGGAUGUGGUGUACGGUGCACGUCAGCUCCUGAUAUUAAUAUUGUCUAUCCUGCAAGCUGAAGAUCGGGGUUCGACUCUUUGCAGCCGAA